rnacentral:rRNA from 1 species
UGGCUCAGGACGAACGCUGGCGGCGUGCCUAAUACAUGCAAGUCGAACGGUCUUUCUAUGGAAGCUUGCUUCCACUGAGAAGAUAGUGGCGAACGGGUGAGUAACACGUGGGUAACCUGCCCAUAAGAGGGGGAUAACAUCCGGAAACGGGUGCUAAUACCGCAUAGUUUCUUGAUCGCAUGAUUGAGAAAGGAAAGACGGCCUUUGUGCUGUCGCUUAUGGAUGGACCCGCGGCGUAUUAGUUAGUUGGUGAGGUAACGGCUCACCAAGACGAUGAUACGUAGCCGACCUGAGAGGGUGAUCGGCCACAUUGGGACUGAGACACGGCCCAAACUCCUACGGGAGGCAGCAGUAGGGAAUCUUCCGCAAUGGACGAAAGUCUGACGGAGCAACGCCGCGUGAGUGAAAGAAGGUUUUCGGAUCGUAAAACUCUGUUGUCAGAGAAGAACAAGUUGGAGAGUAACUGCUCCAGCCUUGACGGUAUCUGACCAGAAAGCCACGGCUAACUACGUGCCAGCCGCCGC